rnacentral:tRNA from 1 species
GGACGUGUAGCUCAGGCUGGCAGAGCAGCGGCCUUUUAAGCCGUGGGUCGCAGGUUCGAAUCCUGCCACGCCCACAA